CUCGGGAAUUUCGAGUUAACGCCGAAGAACCUUACCAGCCCUUGACAUCCUGGGAACUUUGUAGAGAUACAUUGGUGCCCUUCGGGAAUCCCAGUGACCAGGUGCUGCAUGGCUGUCGUCAGCUCGUGUUCGUGAGAUGUUGGGUUAAGUCCCGUAACGAGCGCAACCCUUGUCCUUUGUUGCCAGCACGUAAUGGUGGGAACUCAAAGGAGACUGCCGGUGACAAACCGGAGGAAGGUGGGGAUGACGUCAAGUCAUCAUGGCCCUUAUGGGCUGGGCUACACACGUGCUACAAUGGCCGGUACAGAGAGUAGCGAAGCGGCGACGUGGAGCCAAUCUCAGAAAACCGGUCGUAGUCAGCAGUCUGCAACUCGACUGCAUGAAGUCGGAUCGCUAGUAUUCG
rnacentral:rRNA from 1 species